GACGAACGCUGGCGGCGUGCUUAACACAUGCAAGUCGAACGGAGAUUAUUAAUGAAGCUUGCGAUUUAAUAAUCUUAGUGGCGGACGGGUGAGUAACGCGUGGGCAACCUACCCAUAAGAGGGGGAUAACAGUUGGAAACGACUGCUAAUACCGCAUAAGCUAUUGAGGUCGCAUGACCUUAAUAGUAAAGGUGGCGCUUGUUUACAAGCUAUCACUUAUGGAUGGGCCCGCGUCUGAUUAGCUAGUUGGUGGGUAGAAGCCUACCAAGGCAACGAUCAGUAGCCGGCCUGAGAGGGUGGACGGCCACACUGGGACUGAGACACGGCCCAGACUCCUACGGGAGGCAGCAGUGGGGAAUAUUGCGCAAUGGGGGAAACCCUGACGCAGCGACGCCGCGUGAGCGAUGAAGGCCUUAGGGUCGUAAAGCUCUGUUGUAAGGGGACGAAUGUUUAAUCUGGCCAAAUGUCAGAUAAAGUGACGGUACCUUACCAGCAAGCCCCGGA
rnacentral:rRNA from 1 species